ACCUUUGAAUUCUCUGUGGGAGCCUUUGGCAGCCUCCUUCAGGACUCAGAGGAAGAAAGGCAAAACAGCUGUUCCCAAGAAACUGGAGAUAGCUGAGGAGCUGGUAUGAACGUUACAAGUAAAUGAAGAUAUGAA